UCCCUUCAAUGUCCCUCAAAGUCUGCAGAAUCUCACCAUUUGUGUUUGCUUAGCCAUCCUACGAAGGUGCUCUGUUCAACUUGGCCUCUGUGUGACGAACAUCGAACCAAUGAUGCAUUUGUAUCUCCUUUGGCUGGAUACAAAGUUCCAUAUUCCGGGAAGAAGGGCUUAAAUGAUGCAUGUGGAUAAUUGAAGGGCCGCAUUAAUAGGUAACCUGUAAUUAUUGUAUUUUUAGGCAAGAUAGGAUAUGUAUUCUUAGUGCUCACGGAUUGCUGGUACCACAUGGAUCAUAUUUGUUUCUAAUACAAUAUUUUCUUGUGUAGGCCUUUUCUAUUUGGUCAUUUGAUUGCACCAAAGAUUUAUUAUUUUCCACUGCUUAAGGGCACAACCAAUGAGGCAAUUUCUGGAGGUAAAGAAUUUCGUGUGUUUUUCAUGUAGUGAGUGCUUUGCUCUAUUUUCUUCCUUCACAUUGGUUGAAACUUCUCUACUGCUGAGAAACUUAUUGCUUAAUGGCCGAAGGAAGAAUCUCUAUUAUUAUGUAUACUAAAAUAAACUCAUGGGAAUGUUAAGUAAUGUCCAUGCUAUUUGACAAUCACCUUUGAACUUAAAU
rnacentral:lncRNA from 1 species